AAUCAACGCUGGCGGCGUGCCUAACACAUGCAAGUCGUACGAGAAAGUGGAGCAAUCCAUGAGUAAAGUGGCGACCGGGUGAGUAACACGUGACUACCUACCUUCUAGUGGGGGAUAACUCCGGGAAACCGGAGCUAAUACCGCAUAACAUCGCAAGAUCAAAGCAGCAAUGCGCUGGAAGAGGGGGUCGCGGCUGAUUAGCUAGUUGGUAGGGUAAUGGCCUACCAAGGCAAAGAUCGGUAUCCGGCCUGAGAGGGCGCACGGACACACUGGAACU
rnacentral:rRNA from 1 species